CUCUCUUCUUUGUUUGAAUGGAAGAGAGCAACUGUGGGAAGUUUGGUAACGUAAAAGAUUUAUAGGGCAAGAUUUGUUUUGGCUGUCCCACAUCCUGCCUUGUAUGAUGUGAAAGGUUAUUUUGAUGCACAGAGCUUCACUAUGAAGAAUCCUGCUUCCUCCUGCUGGGAUGUGUGUCUAAGGAAAUGUACAGGAGGCUUGACCCAAAAGCAGAGCAGCGGAGAUGAUUUAUCAGUGAGUUAUAACUUUAAUAAUCAGCUGCAAAGGGUCUCAGCUCGAAACAUUGACUGUUUAUUCAUUUCCAUCGAUGCUGC